rnacentral:rRNA from 1 species
UACGGGGGGAGCAAACGUUGUUCGGAAUUACUGGGCGUAAAGGGCGCGUAGGCGGCCUUCUAAGUCGAACGUGAAAUCCCCGGGCUCAACCCGGGAACUGCGUCCGAUACUGGAAGGCUUGAAUCCGGGAGAGGGAUGCGGAAUUCCAGGUGUAGCGGUGAAAUGCGUAGAUAUCUGGAGGAACACCGGUGGCGAAGGCGGCAUCCUGGACCGGCAUUGACGCUGAGACGCGAAAGCCAGGGGAGCAAACGGG